CUCCCUCGUUGCUGACUCCAGGUUCGAUAGUGCCAAUUAGACACCACCUCGCCAAGAACCAACUUCGAUGAAGCGACGGGCGGUGUGUGCAAGG
rnacentral:rRNA from 1 species